ensembl:lncRNA
CUUUGGAAUAUGCUUUCAAGGUCUGUGAAGCCAAACUUGAUGCUGGGGAUUUAUUUUUGUCAGUGGAGUCAAAUGGUUGAAGCAGAAUUUGCCCGUCUUACAUCUGUUGACCUGAAAGGGUUCCUUUUUGCUGUGCUUGACCAUUAUGGAGAGGUUCGUGGAGCUGUACAAAAUCAAGAGCGGCAUAGGAGGGCUAACUAGGCUCAUAAAAUGCUUCAAUGAUGAUAGCCCUACACAAAGGAAGAGGACAGAGGACCUCAUUUUCUAAAGGAAGAGCCCUCACACACUUUCAAGACUGUGAAGCCGACAGGUAUUGAAGACACGUUUUCUAAGAGGAUGAAAGUUGGCAUUGCGAUGGUGAAAGAAGAAGACAUCAUCGAUGUGUUGGUUGUCCUUGAGGCGGCAGUAAUCCUGUCUAAUCUGAGGGAUGUCUCAAGUGCCAUUUCCAUGCUGAUGGGCCUUCUUUUUGCCCUCAACAUAGACUAUCCAAAGGAACUUAAGGACAUCUUUGAAGUCAUUCAGAACAUCCUAAUGAACAUUGGUGGAAGGCAGUGCAUCUCACUAGUGCAUGGUCUAAGAAACAGACUCUUGCAGAAAGCCA